rnacentral:rRNA from 2 species
CCAAGGAGUGCAACAUGCGUGCGAGUCUUGGGGUGGUAAACCCAUUGGCACAAUGAAGGUGAAGGCAGAUUUUGGUCUGCUCAGGCAGGAGCCUUCCCGCAGGGGGGCGCACUGUCGACCGAUCCCAGGCUACGCUGUGGCGGGAUUUGAGUAAGAGCGUGCCUGUUGCGACCCGAAAGAUGGUGAACUAUGCCUGAAUAGGGUGAAGCCAGAGGAAACUCUGGUGGAAGCUCGUAGCGAUUCUGACGUGCAAAUCGAUCGUCAAAUUUGGGUAUAGGGGCGAAAGACUAAUCGAACCAUCUAGUAGCUGGUUCCCUCCGAAGUUUCCCUUAGGAUAGCUGGAGCCCGGUGCAGUUUUAUCAGGUAAAGCGAAUGAUUAGAGGUCUUGGGGUUGAAACAACCUCAACCUAUUCUCAAACUUUAAAUGGGUAAGAAGCUUGGCUUGCUCGACUGAAGUCAGGCAUCGAAUGCCGGGGCUCUUAGUGGGCCAUUUUUGGUAAGCAGAACUGGCGAUGUGGGAUGAACCAAAUGCCGGGUUAAGGUGCCCGAAUCGACGCUCAUCAGAUACCAUGAAAGGUGUUGGUUGAUCUAGACAGCAGGACGGUGGCCAUGGAAGUCGGAA